rnacentral:rRNA from 1 species
GAGUUUGAUCCUGGCUCAGGACGAACGCUGGCGGCGUGCCUAAUACAUGCAAGUCGAGCGAACCAAUAGGAGCGCAGCUCCUGUUGGUUAGCGGCGGACGGGUGAGUAAGACGUGGGCAACCUGCCUGUAAGACUGGGAUAACACCGGGAAACCGGUGCUAAUACCGGAUAAUUCUUUCCCUCUCAUGAGGGAAAGUUGAAAGUCGGUUUCGGCUGACACUUACAGAUGGGCCCGCGGCGCAUUAGCUAGUUGGUGAGGUAACGGCUCACCAAGGCGACGAUGCGUAGCCGACCUGAGAGGGUGAUCGGCCACACUGGGACUGAGACACGGCCCAGACUCCUACGGGAGGCAGCAGUAGGGAAUCUUCCACAAUGGACGAAAGUCUGAUGGAGCAACGCCGCGUGAGCGAUGAAGGCCUUCGGGUCGUAAAGCUCUGUUGUUAGGGAAGAACAAGUAUCGGAGUAACUGCCGGUACCUUGACGGUACCUAACCAGAAAGCCACGGCUAACUACGUGCCAGCAGCCGCGGUAAUACGUAGGUGGCAAGCGUUGUCCGGAAUUAUUGGGCGUAAAGCGCGCGCAGGCGGUCCUUUAAGUCUGAUGUGAAAGCCCACGGCUCAACCGUGGAGGGUCAUUGGAAACUGGGGGACUUGAGUGCAGAAGAGGAAAGCGGAAUUCCACGUGUAGCGGUGAAAUGCGUAGAGAUGUGGAGGAACACCAGUGGCGAAGGCGGAAUUCUGGUC